rnacentral:rRNA from 1 species
GACGAACGCUGGCGGCGUGCUUAACACAUGCAAGUCGAGCGGUAAGGCCCUUUCGGGGGUACACGAGCGGCGAACGGGUGAGUAACACGUGGGUGACCUGCCUCUAGCUCUGGGAUAAGCCCGGGAAACUGGGUCUAAUACUGGAUAUGACUCCAUGACGCAUGUUGUGGGGUGGAAAGCCUUGUGCGGCUAGAGAUGGGCCCGCGGCCUAUCAGCUUGUUGGUGGGGNGAUGGCCUACCAAGGCGACGACGGGUAGCCGGCCUGAGAGGGCGACGGCCACACUGGGACUGAGACACGGCCCAGACUCCUACGGGAGGCAGCAGUGGGGAAUCUUGCGCAAUGGGCGAAAGCCUGACGCAGCGACGCCGCGUGAGGGAUGACGGCCUGGUGUAAC